AGGAAUUGGGCGGGUCCAUGUGUGUUUGCGUAUGUUUGCGCGCGCCCUGCGUCUCGCAAGCAGGAAACAACCGUUUGGAAUAUGUCCAUGUAUGGAAAGCCAACUCCCGCGAAUCGACCUCAUUCAGUCACGUUGCACCUUAAUUACGGCGUUAAAAGCACCUCACAUUUUCAUUUUCAUAUAGUUGUAUAUGAGUGAAACCGCAGACAUCAGCGUGGUCAUAUUUUAAACAUUCAUUUUCCAUUUAUUUCGGCUUAGAACGGUUCUACGUGACAAGUUUAUUCCAAUUACACUGCAAAAACGAAUGAGAUUAGAAUCUUUUUGACAUUUUAUUGAAUAACAAAUCAAAGAGGCAUUCGCAAGGACAGCUGGUCAGUCUGGUCCCGAUUUCGAACAUCUGGCGCAGCCACGACAACAAGCGAAGCAUUCGGCUGAGGGUCACCGGUUAACCCGGUCACGACUUGAACUGAAACACCGGACCGCAGUCCGCCGUUUUUAGAUGCCUGGAGAGUCUACCGACCCUAAUCCUAACCCUGAUUUAAAUCGAACCUGGCUUGACCUAACCCUUACCUUACCCUUUUGAUCGCAGAAUACCAUACGUAGGAAUACGUGUUUACCUGUUUAUUGCCUCAACAUGUAAAAUCCUUUAUUAGGCAAUCGCGUAAGCAUUAAGCAAUGUGGAUGAAGCAACUAAGGAAGAAGCAUGUAUUUAAGCCUCCACCCUCUGUGGAUCUUAUUUAAACUGACCUCUGCGGUAACAACGAGGUUUCAUUAAUAAGUCGGUAUUCUGAAUUUGACGCAGACAAUCGACAGCGUAUUGAUUUGGGUUGGAUUGGGAAUGUCUGGGAGUCUUGCUGAAGGAGAAAGCCUUGAGUUGAGGAUGGAGAACGGAGAGAGAGGCGAAGAAUUGGCUUCUCCCAAGAAUGAGCCAACAGCCUUUGAGGGCCUGCGAUUGAAGCCCACAAUACUCGGAGCGAUUGAAGUGGCAAUUGGGAUCUCCAUGGCACUGACCGCAAUUACGUAUCUGGCUGUCGAUGUCGACCUCGUCAUAACAGCAAUCCUCUUCUGGGGUAUCUUCAUCUGGCACCAAAGAGUUCUGGUGAUGUUGUCCCCUACAGUACAUCCCUGCUGGGGGUUUGACCAUCGCUGCUGACAGGAAACCCACCAGGGCCAAGGUGUGCGCUGCGUUGGGGAUGAAUGUGCUGGUGGCUCUCUCGACCGUCGCUGGAAGUGUUCUUCAUUUCUUUGCUAGUGUACUAUUUGGGUACCCUCGCUGCGACCUUGGUUGUAAACAUUUGAGAAAUACUGAAUUGUUCAUGCUGGCAGCGUCCAUCUUGCUGUUCAUCGUCUCCAUACUGGUUGUUUCCUCUGCAGUGGCUGCUCUGUGUUCCUCUAGAAAGCCAUCAAAAGAAAACACAGUAAUCUAAGUGGUACCCCUCGUUCUAAGGUGGACAAAAAAAUAGAUGAGCCUCUUCUAUCUUCAGAUUUUCACACCAAAAGUUUUAUUUUCUAAAUAUUUCUUUGUACACCUUUUUUAUCUUCUGAUAUCUUUCUAAUGUGGUUUACUUUGAAAUUGCAGAGAUAUUGUAACCCUGAUGUAAAUGAUUGUUGUUUCCAGAAUGUUUUUUAUAAUGUAUAUCUUAUGUACAAUU